rnacentral:rRNA from 1 species
UUAAAUUGAAGAGUUUGAUCAUGGCUCAGAUUGAUCGCUGGCGGCAGGCCUAACACAUGCAAGUCGUACGGUAACAGGAAGCAGCUUGCUGCUUUGCUGACGAGUGGCGGACGGGUGAGUAAUGUCUGGGAAACUGCCUGAUGGAGGGGGAUAACUACUGGAAACGGUGGCUAAUACCGCAUAACGUCGCAAGACCAAAGAGGGGGACCUUCGGGCCUCUUGCCAUCAGAUGUGCCCAGAUGGGAUUAGCUUGUUGGUGAGGUAACGGCUCACCAAGGCGACGAUCCCUAGCUGGUCUGAGAGGAUGCCCAGCCACACUGGAACUGAGACACGGUCCAGACUCCUACGGGAGGCAGCAGUGGGGAAUAUUGCACAAUGGGCGCAAGCCUGAUGCAGCCAUGCCGCGAGUUUG